rnacentral:rRNA from 1 species
AAUUUGAAGGGUUUGAUCCUGGCUCAGAACGAACGCUGGCGGCGUGGCUAAGACAUGCAAGUCAAACGGUCCGGCACUUAUUUGUUUACAAAUUAGUGCUGGAUAGUGGCGCAAGGGUGAGUAAUGGAUAGGUAACGUACCCUCUGCUUCGGGAUAGCGUCAUUCGCUUUCGGGCGAAUUUCCGAAAGGGGCGGUAAUACCGGAUAAUGCCAUGUACUAUAUGGUAUAUGGCCAAAGAUUUAUCGGCACUGGAGCGGCCUAUCUCCUAUCAGCUUGUUGGUGAGGUAACGGCUCACCAAGGCUAUGACGGGUAGCGGGACUGAGAGGUUGGCCCGCCACAUCGGGACUGAGACACUGCCCGGACCUCCACGGAGGGCUGCAGUAACGAAU